UACGUAGGUGGCGAGCGUUGUCCGGAUUUAUUGGGCGUAAAGGGCGCGCAGGUGGUGCGGUAAGACUGCCGUGAAAUCUCCUGGCUCAACUGGGAGGGUGCGGUGGAGACUGCCGGACUAGAGGCACUCAGAGGCCGGUGGAAUUCCCGGUGUAGUGGUGAAAUGCGUAGAGAUCGGGAGGAACACCAGUGGCGAAGGCGGCCGGCUGGGGGUGACCUGACGCUGAGGCGCGAAAGCGUGGGGGAGCGAACCGG
rnacentral:rRNA from 1 species